UCAGAAGUAAAGGUGUCCAUUUC
rnacentral:piRNA from 1 species